rnacentral:lncRNA from 1 species
UCACACCCAGCCCCUCUCUCUCUCAUCUCCACACGAAACCCUAGCAGCUCUCUCUUCUGGAUUGCCAGCAGCAAUAGCAGCCACCGACCAGCGCUGCCGUCACCGACGAACUCUUCUUCUCAGCCAGCGUCGAACCCCGCCGUCGCGAUUCUCUUCUCAUGGAUCGCUUCACCUCGCGUCGCCAGGUAUUCUCGCUGUUGUCGUCGCUGCCUCUGUCCUCGUCAUCGUCGGCCACCUUGAAAUCAUGUCUCCGUCCUCAUCGUCGAUCCCUCUCUCUCGCGUGUCAAGCCUGUCUUCGAUCUCCUCUGUGCCCGGCUCACUUAUCCUCUUCCAUCGUCAUCAUUUGGAUUCCUCGUUUGCUACCGGUGUUCAAUUUAAUUUUGCUUGUUUUGUACUUUUAUUUAGUUUUCUGAUUUCUGAUUCUGAGGUUGCUAAUUUCUGUUUAUUCUGAGUUACUGAAUUUCUGAGUUUGUAAGCAUCCAUUCCUACCCUGCUUCAGUUUCAUUUUUGGGAGUUAAUUGCUGUUUUUUUUAGAUUUAAUUAUGUUAAUUGUUGCUUGUUUUUC